rnacentral:rRNA from 1 species
GAGUGGCAGACGGGUGAGUAACGCGUGGGAACGUACCCUUUGGUUCGGAAUAGCCCUUGGAAACGAGGAGUAAUACCGAAUGAGCCCUACGGGGGAAAGAUUUAUCGCCGAAGGAUCGGCCCGCGUUAGAUUAGCUAGUUGGUGAGGUAAUGGCUCACCAAGGCGACGAUCUAUAGCUGGUUUGAGAGGAUGAUCAGCCACACUGGGACUGAGACACGGCCCAGACUCCUACGGGAGGCAGCAGUGGGGAAUCUUGGACAAUGGGGGAAACCCUGAUCCAGCCAUGCCGCGUGAAUGAUGAAGGCCUUAGGGUUGUAAAAUUCUUUCAGUGGGGAAGAUAAUGACGGUACCCACAGAAGAAGCCCCGGCUAACUCCGUGCCAGCAGCCGCGGUAAUACGGAGGGGGCUAGCGUUGUUCGGAAUUACUGGGCGUAAAGCGCGCGUAGGCGGACUAGCCAGUCAGAGGUGAAAGCCCAGGGCUCAACCCUGGAACUGCCUUUGAUACUGUUAGUCUGGAGUCCGGGAGAGGUGUGUGGAAUUCCGAGUGUAGAGGUGAAAUUCGUAGAUAUUCGGAGGAACACCAGAGGCGAAGGCGGCACA